rnacentral:rRNA from 1 species
AACGAACGCUGGCGGCAGGCCUAACACAUGCAAGUCGAACGCUCCGCAAGGGGAGUGGCAGACGGGUGAGUAACACGUGGGAAUCUUCCUGUUGGUACGGAAUAGCUCAGGGAAACUUGGGGUAAUACCGUAUAAGCCCGAGAGGGGAAAGAUUUAUCGCCGACAGAUGAGCCCGCGUCUGAUUAGCUAGUUGGUGAGGUAAUGGCUCACCAAGGCGACGAUCAGUAGCUGGCUGAGAGGAUGACCAGCCACACUGGGACUGAGACACGGCCCAGACUCCUACGGGAGGCAGCAGUGGGGAAUAUUGGACAAUGGGCGCAAGCCUGAUCCAGCCAUGCCGCGUGAGGGAUGACGGCCUU